rnacentral:rRNA from 1 species
CAAAAACAUCGCCUCUUGACAUACAUAAGAGGUCCAGCCUGCCCAGUGACUAAGUUCAACGGCCGCGGUAUCCUAACCGUGCGAAGGUAGCGUAAUCACUUGUUCUUUAAAUGAGGACUAGUAUGAAUGGCACCACGAGGGUUAUACUGUCUCCUUUUUUUAAUCAAUGAAACUGAUCUCCCCGUGAAGAAGCGGGGAUAAAUUUAUAAGACGAGAAGACCCUAUGGAGCUUUAAACAAUUAUAGCACUGGCCCACACCUCUUAUUCUUCUGAGAUAUAAUUAUUAUACAGGCCAACAUGACUAUUAGUUUUAGGUUGGGGUGACCGCGGAGCAAAAAUUAACCUCCACGUUGAACGGAGCUACUCCUGAGCUAAAAACUACAACUUUAAGCACCAAUAAACUGACAUCAAUUGACCCAAUAUAUUGAACAACGAACCAAGUUACCCUAGGGAUAA